rnacentral:rRNA from 1 species
GAUGAACGCUGGCGGCGUGCUUAACACAUGCAAGUCGAACGGAAAGGCCCAAGCUUGCUUGGGUACUCGAGUGGCGAACGGGUGAGUAACACGUGGGUGAUCUGCCCUGCACUUCGGGAUAAGCCUGGGAAACUGGGUCUAAUACUGGAUAGGACCACUUCUUGGAUGGUGUGGUGGAAAGUUUUUUCGGUGUGGGAUGAGCUCGCGGCCUAUCAGCUUGUUGGUGGGGUAAUGGCCUACCAAGGCGUCGACGGGUAGCCGGCCUGAGAGGGUGUACGGCCACAUUGGGACUGAGAUACGGCCCAGACUCCUACGGGAGGCAGCAGUGGGGAAUAUUGCACAAUGGGCGCAAGCCUGAGGCAGCGACGCCGCGUGGGGGAUGACGGCCUUCGGGUUGUAAACUCCUUUCGCUAGGGACGAAGCGUUUUUGUGACGGUACCUGGAGAAGAAGCACCGGCUAACUACGUG